rnacentral:rRNA from 1 species
GACGAACGCUGGCGGCGUGCUUAACACAUGCAAGUCGAACGGAAAGGCCCUGCUUUUGUGGGGUGCUCAAGUGGCGAACGGGUGAGUAACACGUGAGUAACCUGCCCUUGACUUUGGGAUAACUUCAGGAAACUGGGGCUAAUACCGGAUAGGAGCUCCUGCUGCAUGGUGGGGGUUGGAAAGUUUCGGCGGUUGGGGAUGGACUCGCGGCUUAUCAGCUUGUUGGUGGGGUAGUGGCUUACCAAGGCUUUGACGGGUAGCCGGCCUGAGAGGGUGACCGGCCACAUUGGGACCGGGAUACCGCCCAGGCUUCUACGGGAGGCAGCAGUGGGGAAUUUUUCAAAAUGGGCGGAAGCCUGAUGCAGCAACGCCGCGUGCGGGAUGACGGCCUUCGGGUUGUAAACCGCUUUCGCCUGUGACGAAGCGUGAGUGACGGUAAUGGGUAAAGAAGCACCGGCUAACUACGUG